GCUGAAAUCUGAUUAUAGUUCAGCAGAGAGAAUGAGUCUGUGUUUGUGUGAAACACUGUAAUGUGAAUGGCAGUUCUGUGUGAAGAAUUUCAAAGAUUGGAACGAGGAUAAUUGUGUGCUGAAAGUUGUGAGGGAGCAAUAUUACAGUUGGAGAUUAUGAGGGUGAAUAUAUUGGUGGAAAUAGCAGUUAUUGGUAUGACUGAAUUG
rnacentral:lncRNA from 1 species